GUGGCUAUUUGGAUGAGAUUCUUAACAUAUUUUUUGGUCAUCAUAUCCUGUAAUGUAUUUUAGUUAAAGGCAACGAAUUAUUUGUGCAGAUAAUGGGACAAUAUCUUAUACUUAAAGUGUGUAUUUCUGUCAAUAACUUUUUUUGUUAAGUCUGGUGAUGACGAGCAAAUUCGAUGGCAGAUUCGGCUGUGGGGUGUGCAGUAACGUUGGUGGCAGCUCAAUGCGCUGAGUCUUUAGUGGUGGACAAGGAACAUCUCGCUGCCAUGUCCUUUGAGUAUGAUUUUUAUCUUAGUACGAAUUCAAAGUUUGAUGAGAAUCGGAUCAGCCGGGAGCGGGAUGUUAUUCUUAGGGAAAUGGGAGAGGUGACCAGGUGGUGAUGAAGUAUAUAAUGUAUUUGAUAAUCAACUCCCUGCCGCUUUAAAAAGGUUGCAGUUUGACAGGAAUCUUUCAAUGGAUAAUGUGUGGAAUCUUAUAACUCAACUUGAUGGAUAUCAACCUCACUUGAUAGCUCCUGAACAAGGAUAGAGGGCUGAUGUUAAUCAUGGCUGCAGGUGUUGUGAAGGUUCUAAUAAGGAUAGAUGAUUUGACUUAUCAUCUAGGAUCACUAUAUAAAUUUCCUAAGCCAAUUGCCUUUUACGGGGUAAUUAUCUUUUUCACCUAGGUCCUUUGUUUUUAGUUAGUCUCAAUCUAAAUCUAAUUGAGCUUUGGCAAAUGUCUCAGAUGUUUGAUGGUUAUGGAGGACCCGAAGCAACAGCUGAUAUACGAAAAAAUGUUAUAAAAUUCUUCUUUUGCAAUGUCAAUUUUUCUUAGACAUCUGAAGUUGAUAACAUAUUUUUACAGGAGGUAGAUAAUUCCUUCAAAAAGGCUUUUCUUUUGGCGGACUCGGGUAUGGCUGAUGAUUGCUGCAGUGUGAAUACUUCUUCAAGGACCACAACUCCUACUGCUAUGAUAUUUGGAAGACUUCUAAUGGUGGCUAAUGUUGGUGACUGUCGAGCAGUUCUCAGUCGAAAAGGAGAGGCCAUUGAUAUGUCUUAAGAUCACCGGCCUAUUUAUCCAUUAGAGCGUAGACAAGUUGAAGAAUUGGGCAGCUAUGUAGAAGAUGCCUUAAUAGAGAUAUUUGUUGUAUGCAAAGUUUAAAAUGACUAUCAGAAGUAUCAAUUUUUCGAGCUAUUUGCGUAUUGUUUAUUUUGUGUUGCAU